CUGAACUUUUUUAGUUAUUUAUAGCUACUGUAAAAAGUCUUAUUUGAUUGUAUUUGCAUGAACCAUGGAAAUUUCAUACUACAUACUCUUCUUCACCUUCCUUUACUUGCUAAAGAACCAGUUCCUUGGAAAAUUCCAAAAUCUCCCACCAAGUCCCUAUAUCUCAUUGCCCAUAAUAGGUCAUUUAUAUCUACUCAAGAAACCACUUCAUAAAACAUUAGCCAACAUCUCAGAAAAGCAUGGUCCUUUGCUUUUCCUCCGAUUUGGAUCGCGUCCCGUCCUGCUUAUCUCUUCCCCUGCUCUUGCAGAGGAAUGUUUCACCAAAAACGACGUUGUUUUUGCCAAUCGUCCGAGGUUGCUUGCUGGAAAACAUCUUGGUUACAACUACACCAGCCUUGUUUGGUCAUCCUAUGGCCAACAUUGGCGCAACCUAAGAAGGAUUGCUACUAUUGAAAUCUUGUCCACUCAGAGAAUUCAAAUGUUUGCUGAUAUCCAUAGAGAUGAGGUUCGCGGUCUGGUCCAACGCCUUGUAAGGGGGAAAACCAGUGGUGGAGAUCAUAAGACAAACGUGGUGGAUAUGAAAGCGGCUUUCUUUGAGAUGACAUUGAAUAUUUUAAUGAUGAUGAUUGCUGGGAAAAAAAUACUAUGGUGGUUCUGCUGGGAAAUUGGAGGAAUGUAGGAGGUUUAAAGAGAUUGUGAUAGAAACUUUCCAAGUGAGUAGUGCAACAAAUAUAGGAGAUUUUGUGCCACUUCUUAAAUGGAUAGGAGUAAACAAUCUUGAGGAUAAGGUGAAGUUAGUGAAGGAGAAGAGGGAUAAAUUCAUGCAAGAAUUGAUUGAAGAGCACAAGAACAGCAGAAAGGGAUCUUCUUUGGAGCAAAAGAACAAUACCAUGAUUGAUGUUCUUCUAUCACUCCAAGAUUCAGAGCCUGAUUAUUACACAGAUGAAGUGAUAAGAGGCAUGGGAAUAGUCAUGUUAACAGAAGGGACUGAUACUACAGGUAGCACAAUGGAAUGGGCAUUAUCAUUUCUUCUGAACAAUCCCGAGGCACUAAAGAAAGCUCAAAAUGAAAUCGACACUCACAUCGGAGAGUCAUCAAGAUUAAUUGAUGAUUUAGACCUUACUCAACUCCCUUAUCUCCAUGGAAUCAUAAACGAAACUCUCCGGAUAUGCCCACCUGGUCCAUUACUUGUGCCACACGAGUCCUCCGAUGAGUGUGUCCUUGGAGGUUUUCGUGUACCCCGUGGUACAAUGUUGCUAGUGAAUUUGUGGGCAAUACAAAAUGAUUCUAAAUUGUGGGAUAGGCUAAAUGAGUUCAAGCCUGAAAGGUUUAUCAAUUUCAAAGGGCAACGAGACGGGUUCAGGCUAAUGCCAUUUGGAUAUGGAAGGAGAGGAUGUCCAGGUGAAAAUUUGGCAAUGCAUGUGGCUGGUUUGGCAUUAGGAUCACUUAUUCAGUGCUUUGAAUGGGAGAGAGUAAGUGAAGAGCUGGUAGACAUGACCGGAGGACCUGGGCUCAAUAUGCCGAAGGCUAUACCAUUGCUAGCAAAAUGUAGGCCACGCCAAAAUAUUGACAACCUUCUUGCUCAUUUGUAAUCACAAUGCUCUCCUGCACUUUCCCUUUUCAGCCAGAACUAAUAAAUUUAGAGAAACAAUGAUACAUUUGUCUAUUAACACUUACUACAGAAACAUAGGCAAAAUAACAUCUAAUCUCAAGUAGCCAGCUAAUAGUUCACAGCUUGCAGGGCAUGAUCAGUAAUAAUUGGAGAGGGCAGGCUUCAUUGUUCUAGCACAUCUCUUCUAUAGUUCCUAACAGAACAACAACUGCGUAUCAAUCCCAAACUUCUAGUUGCUAAUAAAUAGUAACAUCUAAUUUAUGUUACGCCUUCUGUGCAAUACUUGAAUACAAAUAUCAAUUUAUGCAUUGAAGUUGAUCCUCA